GCGCCUGUAGCUAAAUGGUUAGAGCACUGGCCUCAUGCACCAGGGGUGGUGGGUUUGAACCCAGCCUGGACCU
rnacentral:tRNA from 1 species